rnacentral:rRNA from 1 species
AUUGAACGCUAGCGGGAUGCUUUACACAUGCAAGUCGAACGGCAGCGCGGACUUCGGUCUGGCGGCGAGUGGCGAACGGGUGAGUAAUGUAUCGGAACGUGCCCAGUAGCGGGGGAUAACUACGCGAAAGCGUAGCUAAUCCCGCAUACGCCCUACGGGGGAAAGCAGGGGAUCGUAAGACCUUGCACUAUUGGAGCGGCCGAUAUCGGAUUAGCUAGUUGGUGAGGUAACGGCUCACCAAGGCGACGAUCCGUAGCUGGUUUGAGAGGACGACCAGCCACACUGGGACUGAGACACGGCCCAGACUCCUACGGGAGGCAGCAGUGGGGAAUUUUGGACAAUGGGGGCAACCCUGAUCCAGCCAUCCCGCGUGUGCGAUGAAGGCCUUCGGGUUGUAAAGCACUUUUGGCAGGAAAGAAACGUCGCGGGCUAAUACCCCGUGGAACUGACGGUACCUGCAGAAUAAGCACCGGCUAACUACGUG